GACACUUUGGCCGAGUGGUUAAGGCGAUGCCCUGCUAAUCCAGUCACAUCCGGAUGACUGGUGGCUCCGAGGCAUUGGAGUUUCUCCGCGUGUGUUCGAAUCGCACAGGUGUCG